CAGGUGUGUCCCGCUCUUCGAGACCCCAUUUGGGGUCUUCUUGGCAAAGAUACUGGAGAGGUUUGCCAUGUCCUUCUCCAGCUCAUUUGACAGAUGAAGAACUGAGACAAACAGGGUUAAGGGAUUUGCACAGGGUCGCACAGCUAGUAAGUGUCUGAGGCUGGAUUUUAACUCAGGUCUUUCUGACUCCAGGCCUAGUACUCUAUCCACCAUAUCACCUCGCUGCCCCAAUUCCAUGCCAUGCUUUCAUUUUGAGCUUAUUGUCAACUCUUUCAUUUUAUAGAUAAGGAAACUGAUGCCUAGAGAGGUUAAGUGACUUGCCCAAAGUCACACAGCUAUUAUGUCACAAAACCAGUAUUCAAACCCAGGAUUGCUGAAUCCACUAAAUCACAAGUUGGGAUAGCUAAAAUGGGCAGCACAAAGCAACUAAUGAUAAUUACUUUUUCUUCCCAAAUAGAGUGACUUUCUCAGUAAGCUCCCCAUAUGUGAUUUGCGGUGUAUCUUCAGAUUAAUGAUGAUUGCUCUCCCAUCAAUAUUUCUGAAUAUUACUAGUGACUGGAGGAAAUUUUAUUGGCUGUUGCAGUUCAUUGAGAAUUAAUUGAUAUGGCACACUUACUCUACAUGAACUUGGAAAAAAGUAUAUCAAAGCUAUGUCUCUUUAAAUCUACUGUGGAAGAUAUUCCUUCUGGCCCAUAAGAUGCCAAAAUGACUUGAUGAUUUAUUUAUGUAGAGCUUGGCAGACUGGAGUCCAGAUUGUGGCUGAAGCUGAAUUUUAUGAGCCUUCCCCUAGUUCACCCAAAAAAGGACCUAUUGAUUCACAGCUGGAUAAUCAGAAAUUACAAGAGCAAACAGACCUGGCAAAACAAUUUCCAAACCUAUUUUCCUCCUGUACAUACUUUCCCAAAGUGAAAAAUAUCAAGGCCAAAAAGGGAAAUACUUUGUUAAGGGCAGAAGGAAGGAUUUCAACAAAGGGAUAA
rnacentral:lncRNA from 1 species